CGCUGGCGGCGUGCUUAACACAUGCAAGUCGAACGGAGGUUAAGCGCUGGUUGAUGCUAGCUUGCUAGAGGAUUCCUUGCUAACUAGUGGCGGACGGGUGAGUAACGCGUGAGUAACCUGCCCUUCAGUGGGGAAUAACGCCCUGAAAAGAGCGCUAAUACCGCAUAACACAUAUUUGCCGCAUGACAGAUAUGUCAAAGAUUUAUCGCUGAAGGAUGGACUCGCGUCCGAUUAGCUAGUUGGUGAGGUAACGGCUCACCAAGGCGACGAUCGGUAGCCGGACUGAGAGGUUGAACGGCCACAUUGGGACUGAGACACGGCCCAGACUCCUACGGGAGGCAGCAGUGGGGGAUAUUGCGCAAUCGGGGGAAACCCUGACGCAGCAACGCCGCGUGGAGGAUGACGGUUUUCGGAUUGUAAACUCCUUUUAUAAGGGACGAACUAAGACGGUACCUUAUGAAUAAGCUCCGGCUAACUACGUGCCAGCCGCCGC
rnacentral:rRNA from 1 species